rnacentral:rRNA from 1 species
CGGACGGGUGAGUAACGCGUGGAUAACCUGCCUUACACUGGGGGAUAACACUUAGAAAUAGGUGCUAAUACCGCAUAAGCGCACAGCUUCGCAUGAAGUGGUGUGAAAAACUCCGGUGGUAUACGAUGGUUCCGCGUCUGAUUAGCUUGUUGGUGGGGUAAUGGCUCACCAAGGCGACGAUCAGUAGCCGGCCUGAGAGGGUGAACGGCCACAUUGGGACUGAGACACGGCCCAAACUCCUACGGGAGGCAGCAG